GACGAACGCUGGCGGCGUGCCUAAUACAUGCAAGUAGAACGCACAGUUUAUACCGUAGCUUGCUACACCAUAGACUGUGAGUUGCGAACGGGUGAGUAACGCGUAGGUAACCUGCCUGGUAGCGGGGGAUAACUAUUGGAAACGAUAGCUAAUACCGCAUAAUAUUAAUUAUUGCAUGAUAAUUAAUUGAAAGGUGCAAUUGCACCACUACCAGAUGGACCUGCGUUGUAUUAGCUAGUAGGGGAGGUAACGGCUCACCUAGGCGACGAUACAUAGCCGACCUGAGAGGGUGGUCGGCCACACUGGGACUGGGACACGGCCCCGACUCCUACGGGAGGCAGCAGUAGGGAAUCUUCGGCAAUGGACGAAAGUCUGACCGCGCAACGCCGCGUGAGUGAAGAAGGUUUUCGGAUCGUAAAGCUCUGUUGUAAGAGAAGAACGGGUGUGAGAGUGGAAAGUUCACACUGUGACGGUAUCUUACCAGAAAGGGACGGCUAACUACGUG
rnacentral:rRNA from 1 species